UAUGCCAGACCUCUAAACAAUAAACUGUGUUCUGCUGUGUUGCUAUGCCCGUUCAUGAGGCAAGCCAUUUUAAAGUAAAGCAUCUUGGAGAUUCCAAAAGAGCAGAAUGGGGAAGGGGUGUACUGCUUUAGGCUAGGGGAAAACAGCAAAAAAAAAAAGUGGAUGAAGUAUAUUCUUAGGGGAGACUUGGAGAGCAAACUACAGGAAGUGCUGAGGAAGGAAGAAGGACACCGUGGAUCAUGGUGGAAGGCCCACGUGGACGCAAAGCAGCAAGCACAGACACAGCACAUGACCCCAGGAGCUGCAUCAGCUUUGGAGACUGUCGGACACAUUGCUGGGGAAAGCCAGACAUGAGCCUCCUUCAGCACCGGACACAGCCUAGGAUCCGGCUGGGCUCAGGACCUCCCCUCCCCUCUCUAGUCCCACGAGGAAUGUUUGUUCCCGUUCUCUGCUGGGGGAGUUUUUUCAUGGCGGGGCCUCAUCCUCGACGAAGCUGUGGGACUCAGAGCCAGGCUCUAUGUCGCCCGACGAUCCUGCUGACCCCGGCCUCCUGCAGACCAUGGGCCGCCAUACCCCUGGCCGCAUUUCCAGCUUUUCAAGUGGGAAGAAACCACCCCGCGUCCCAGGACUUGCACUUCUGUGGGCCAUCCUCAGCAAGACAUUUUCAUGGAUAUGAAACUGGACACCGAGUUGACGCUGAAGUUCAGCUGCUGGGUAAUCUUCCAUUUCUGGAGCCUGCUCAGCUUCCUUGUAAAACCCGGCUAGGCCUUCACCCUGGACAGGAGCAACUGGUUCGGAGUCAGUGGGGGUGGGCAGCGGCUCAGCCAUGAAGAAGCCGAGAAGUGAUGUCUGCCUCCCCUCCUCCCUCCCAGAAGAUCUGGAUGUGAAACUAACCCAGAGUGGACGCUGAAGCUCAGCUGCCAAGUAAUCUCCCUUUCCCGGAGAGACUGCACAGCUUCCUGCUCAAUGCCAGCUGGGCCUUCAUCCUGGAGAGGAGCAACAGGUAACAGCACUGUCCCUCGUGCCCUCAUAGCUAGAUUGCCAAGCAGCUGUUUGGAAGCAAGUCUUCCCACUACACCAGCCCUGCACAUUGUGUGUCCUCCAGAGGCACCAUAGAUUGGAAAUGAAUCCUGGUGCCUGGCUAGCAAGACAGCAGUGGCCAGUGAGACAUGAGAUCUCAGAAGGAGAGUAUAUGUGGACUUAUCCUCAGGCUCCUCUGUACCCUAGCUUUACUGCAAACACACAGGUAAAGUAUAAAUGGUGUCCACCUCAGAAAUGAAUCGCAUUCUGAGGCUUUUUACUCAUUCUCCUUCUAGUGCUUGGCUUACAGAGUGGGUAUAGAAUGAUGGAGUUACAUACAUGUGUGUUACUUUCUGAGUGCAUCCUUUAAUUCUCCCUGCCUAGGGCCUCAUUGCUCUUCAAGGGCAGGGGAAAAACCACCUCAGAUCAUAUAUUUAUAUCUUCUCUUCUCCCUGAACACUUUGUAACUCUCAGAAUCUUCUAGAAUCCAGGCACAGACAUUCAUGGAUACUCUUAUCUUUUCAGUAGGCAAGAGAUUUUAGAAAGGGAAGCAGUUCUCCUGCCCUGCACCUAUUUUCACUGCACAAAAGUCAGUCAUAUCAAGUGUACAAGUUUAGUAACUGGAGGCCACUGGUGGGCUGCAGCCCAAUUCCAAAAGAAAGACAAUUAUUAUUUUUGGAAACAGUGUCCAAACUAAAAUAAUGCAGAUACAGUA